rnacentral:rRNA from 1 species
GGGGAGCGUUCUGUAAGCCUGUGAAGGUGUACUGUGAGGUAUGCUGGAGGUAUCAGAAGUGCGAAUGCUGACAUAAGUAACGAUAAAGCGGGUGAAAAGCCCGCUCGCCGGAAGACCAAGGGUUCCUGUCCAACGUUAAUCGGGGCAGGGUGAGUCGACCCCUAAGGCGAGGCCGAAAGGCGUAGUCGAUGGGAAACAGGUUAAUAUUCCUGUACUUGGUGUUACUGCGAAGGGGGGACGGAGAAGGCUAUGUUGGCCGGGCGACGGUUGUCCCGGUUUAAGCGUGUAGGCUGGUUUUCCAGGCAAAUCCGGAAAAUCAAGGCUGAGGCGUGAUGACGAGGCACUACGGUGCUGAAGCAUCAAAUCGUACCCCAAACCGACACAGGUGGUCAGGUAGAGAAUACCAAGGCGCUUGAGAGAACUCGGGUGAAGGAACUAGGCAAAAUGGUGCCGUAACUUCGGGAGAAGGCACGCUGAUAUGUAGGUGAAGUCCCUCGCGGAUGGAGCUGAAAUCAGUCGAAGAUACCAGCUGGCUGCAACUGUUUAUUAAAAACACAGCACUGUGCAAACACGAAAGUGGACGUAUACGGUGUGACGCCUGCCCGGUGCCGGAAGGUUAAUUGAUGGGGUUAGCGGUAACGCGAAGCUCUUGAUCGAAGCCCCGGUAAACGGCGGCCGUAACUAUAACGGUCCUAAGGUAGCGAAAUUCCUUGUCGGGUAAGUUCCGACCCGCACGAAAGGCGUAAUGAUUUGGGCACUGUCUCAACGCGAGACUCAGUGAAAUUGAACUCGCUGUGAAGAUGCAGUGUACCCGCGGCAAGACGGAAAGACCCCGUGAACCUUUACUAUAGCUUGACACUGAACAUUGAGCCUUGAUGUGUAGGAUAGGUGGGAGGCUUUGAAGUGUGGACGCCAGUCUGCAUGGAGCCGACCUUGAAAUACCACCCUUUAAUGUUUGAUGUUCUAACGUUGGCCCCUGAUCGGGGUUGCGGACAGUGUCUGGUGGGUAUGCACGAAUGGCGUAAUGAUGGCCAGGCUGUCUCCACCCGAGACUCAGUGAAAUUGAACUCGCUGUGAAGAUGCAGUGUACCCGCGGCAAGACGGAAAGACCCCGUGAACCUUUACUAUAGCUUGACACUGAACAUUGAGCCUUGAUGUGUAGGAUAGGUGGGAGGCUUUGAAGUGUGGACGCCAGUCUGCAUGGAGCCGACCUUGAAAUACCACCCUUUAAUGUUUGAUGUUCUAACGUUGGCCCCUGAUCGGGGUUGCGGACAGUGUCUGGUGGGUAGUUUGACUGGGGCGGUCUCCUCCUAAAGAGUAACGGAGGAGCACGAAGGUUGGCUAAUCCUGGUCGGACAUCAGGAGGUUAGUGCAAUGGCAUAAGCC